rnacentral:lncRNA from 1 species
UGCAGGUGGCUCUUUAUGGUGUGAAUCUUGCAUGGGAAGAAAGACUUCUUUGAGUAUGGAAUGUACUGUGUUGUUAACAACUUGGGCUGCAGAAAAAGACACUCCUGUAGAAAAGAAGCCUCCAUUCCAUUUACCAGGAGGAGCAACACAUCAGGCACCUGCCACCAUCAUGUGGAACACUGCAUGUAGUGACAAACAGCCAACUGCCAAAGGGAUUUUCCUCCCUUUUUGCAUUCACCAAGAUACAUCACAUCAGCAGCAAGGGAUCAAGGGCCCGAGCACAGGAACAAGCAGCAUAUCCUUUUGGUGGUAACUACAGAUUUACAGUGUUUUAAGUCAGACAAAGGCAGGUAUCCACUUCGUCACUAAAACUGGAGUUGAUGAGUCUACACAUUCCAUUGUAGAAUAGAUAUUCAUAGGCACAGUACCUGUGCACGAUGCAGAGCAUUCACACCUGCAGUAGAAAAAGUCUUUUCAAAAAAGCCUAUACGAGCCAAUAGUUCUACAAGGAGACAUAUCACCCACUUCCCACCCUGCAGAAGCAAGUCAAGUUUCCAGUGCUUUGGGGGCAUAAAUUGAAGCGAAAACAAAAUUGUAUCUAAAAGAUCUCCUAUAUUCUUGCUUAAGCAAAACUAAACUGAUAAACUUCUCAAAGAGCAAGACCUAGCUUCUCACUGUUUUAAUGUAGACAUUUAAGUGUCUAAGUUGUGUGCCCAGUGAUUCAAUUGGGCACAUCUUAGAGGAGACAUGAUUUUAAAUACUGAAUAAAACCUUAAUGAUGCAGAGCUUUCCA